GGGCCAUUAGCUUAGUGGUAGAGCACCCGGUUUGCAUCCGGGAGAUAAGGGUUCGAUUCCCUUAUGGUCCA
rfam:Candidatus Giovannonibacteria bacterium RIFCSPLOWO2_01_FTLL_46_13 rifcsplowo2_01_scaffold_17561, whole genome shotgun sequence.